GACGAACGCUGGCGGCGUGCCUAAUACAUGCAAGUAGAACGCUGAAGGAGGAGCUUGCUUCUCCGGAUGAGUUGCGAACGGGUGAGUAACGCGUAGGUAACCUGCCUGGUAGCGGGGGAUAACUAUUGGAAACGAUAGCUAAUACCGCAUAACAGUAGAUGUUGCAUGACAUUUGCUUAAAAGGUGCAAUUGCAUCACUACCAGAUGGACCUGCGUUGUAUUAGCUAGUUGGUGAGGUAACGGCUCACCAAGGCGACGAUACAUAGCCGACCUGAGAGGGUGAUCGGCCACACUGGGACUGAGACACGGCCCAGACUCCUACGGGGGGCAGCAGUAGGGAAUCUUCGGCAAUGGACGGAAGUCUGACCGAGCAACGCCGCGUGAGUGAAGAAGGUUUUCGGAUCGUAAAGCUCUGUUGUAAGAGAAGAACGAGUGUGAGAGUGGAAAGUUCACACUGUGACGGUAUCUUACCAGAAAGGGACGGCUAACUACGUG
rnacentral:rRNA from 1 species